GGUGGCCUAGUGGUUAGAGUGUCCGCCUCGGAUGCGGGAGGUCGUGGAUUUGAUCCCCUGUUUCGUCA